AAAUUUGUGAGUUUUGUUGUCUUUGGCAUGUUAUUGGUUGUUGUAGAUAAAAGGUUUAAUGGAGAAAAGGAAGAAAAAAAGUGGCUGUGGAUUCUUUUAUUUGCGUGAAAUUUAUGUUCUGAUCAAAUGUGAAAAUAUUAGUUGACAUCUGAUCUUGUUCCUGCAUAGGCUUGUGCUGCAAAUGCCGCUGAGUAUGACUGGUGUAGCUUAGUGCUGGAGAAGCUGAUGAAAAGUGUGGUUACAUUUGCACACCAGUUUUAAAGUUCCGAUUUUGCUGGUGGCUGUGGUGGAUGCUUAAUUUAUGCUGUGGUAUUUUAUUUGGACCGGCUUAAUAGGGAUCCUGUAAAAUGGGUUUUUUCCCUAGAUUGAAGGUUUGGGACAUGAAACAGAUUGGGAGUGCUAGUAAGGAAGACCGAUCACCAAAUGGAGGUGACUAUGGACAAUUAGAGACUUUGGAUGUUGCGUGUGGGGAAAGCUAUCCUAGGGAAUACCAGGAACCUCUUGUUAACAGAGUGAAAUAACUUCGCAAUGUAUUCCUCCACAAUUCAGUUAGUUGAUGCUCGACGAUGUCAUUACUUAUAGGCCUAGGCCAAGGCGAGGGCAAACAAACAAUGCUUAACAGAGUACUUAAUCUGACAAGGGAAAAGCUGUUUAUAUCAUGGGUGUUAAGAUAGGCUAACUACUGCCCUCACAAUCAGAGACGCGCACAUAACAGGGAUGAGAUGUUAGCCUUCCUGAAUGUGUAAAACAAGGUGGGUGGUAUUUUGUGGGCUUUUGCUGUAUUAAAAACUCUAAUGUUAGUAGUCCUUUAAUGCGGCUGGUUAUUUUGUAACUGAAUGCGGCUGUCUAUUGGCUUUUGUUGUGCUGUAAACUAAAUAGUGAAUAUGUGCAGCUACUAAUCUCCAGCAAUGGAUAGAAAUGGGUGUUCUACUUUUGCUUGUAACUUAUGAAUGUAAAGGA